GGGUAAGUCUUAUACGACCAGCUCCCUAAAACCCUCCAGGUACGGAAGUAAGCAAAGGUAAUAGGUUGAGCGGUGCGAUAUGAGUAGCUUACCCCUU
rnacentral:SRP_RNA from 2 species